AAGAAUUUAGUUAAAAAUAUAACAUUAAUUUGUCAAAUUAAAAUUAUUUGCUAAAUAAUUCUUA
rnacentral:tRNA from 1 species